GAUUAAUAUUGAGUUAAAUAUACUGCCUUCUAAGCAGUAGGUUGUAGGUUCGAGUCCUACCGGGAUCGCCA
rnacentral:tRNA from 1 species